rnacentral:lncRNA from 1 species
GGCCCACAUUCUGUCUGUGAAGUGUGUACCUGCCUGAAUAAAUCUGCUUUCGCUCUACUUUGGCUCACUCUUGAAUUCUUUGUGAAGCCAAAGACCCUCACUUGGUAGCCUGUCCCAAGGACUCAACUGAGACCUGGGAUGUGGCCAUUCUCUCGGCCCUCUUCUCUUGCAACACCCACAAAAAACAUUAAAGAUUUUGUCUUAAACCAACUAUGCCAUAAAAAAGUAUACUGUAUACAGAAUUUUCAUUCUUUGAUAAAAAAAUCACAUUAAAAUAUAUACCGUCAAUUAGCCUCUUGUAACAUAGGAGUAAACCUGUAACAAAAAAUGUCCAUGACUUUAUGAUAAAAAGUCAAUGUAUUCUGUGGUGCUUUGGAAAAAUAACAAGGUCAUUUCCAACUAAUUAGGUUGAUGAAAGGUUAAAUGACAAUUUUAACUGCUGAAAAGAUAAUUCAAAUUUAAUAAGCAAAUGACCAAGUUCUGGAUCUUAGACUUCUGCAGAACUCAUCAAUAAUUCUAAUUUAUACAAUAGUCAACAGAAAGUAGAAUACAGCUGGGAUGCCCACGUUAAUCUUGAUCUGGAUUUUCCCACUAUUUUAUUGCCUAGGAAGGCAUACACACAUCAGGCCUGGAUUUUCUGCUCCAGCAAUAGGAAUGAGGGGAAAAAAAACUCCUUUCACUCGCAGGUGACAAUUUCUAAACUUGAUAUGGCAACAAUUAACUGAUAAUUAGAACAUAAGGACAACAUAAGGAGUCAGAAGGGAGACUCAGAAUGCAAGGUUGUGAAAGAGUAUUAUUUAUUAGAAUAACAAAGUAUUUUAAAUACAUGUUAUUUAACAUAUAUGAUGGGGGCUACUAGGACAUCCUAGUAGUGAAUUUAUUCUGGAGCCUAAUAUGCCAAGCUUAGAUACUUGGGGAUUCCUGCUUAUGUUCUUGGAUUUUUAGAAAAUUAAAAUUUUGUCGACAAAGGCCUAUUGAAAAAUACUAGAAAAACAUGAACUGCAGGUAGCGUGAGUGACCAUAAUCUUUCUGGACAAAGUGAUUCCACCAAGUACAACACUGAAAAUACUACAUUUGCUCCUAAAAAAUGCAAUCAUAUAGUAGCAAUACUGUGUGUGUGUGUAUAUGCAGAUAACAGCAAUAUUCUUCCAUCAAAAGUGAAUAAAAUUUAUAUAUGAAAAUGUAUACAUCUAAUCCACUCUCUAUGCACCGUAAGUAUAUUUUUGGAGUCAAAAUACUGAACAACUGACUCUUUGUUAAUGUACUAUAAGGGAAGCAUUAAUAAAUGAAGCUGAUUUAUUACUUUGACAAAAAUUUUGAGAACAUGUUUUAUGCCAGGCAUUGUGUUAGGUAAUGCAAUUAUGAACAUGAUAGACAUGUUUUUUGCUCUGAGAAAGCUUUUGUUUAGUGGAAGAAACUGACCUUAAGCUUCUACAAUAUAGCAUGACAGAAGCUGAUAGGGGAAAUAAAGGGUUCUUGGAAAGCACAUGAAGUACCAAAACUGGACUUAAAGGAGUCAGAGAAAUUUUCCCAGGAGACAUGAUAUCUAAAUUGAGGCCUUAAACUAUGGACGUGUUGGUCAGUUUGGUGGUAGAGAGGCAAUUCUGCAAGGGAGAAACAUGUCUCUUUCAGCCGAAAACAAAAUCAGUAUAGUAGCCUUGGAAAGGGAAGGUGGUUGUAAAGGGAGGUGAGAUGUGUAAGAACCAGUUCAUGAGGGCCUUAUAAAACAUAUUAUGGAGUAAGGGAACAGGAAGCCACUGAAAAAAGAUUUAGGCCAAGGAGAUCUUUAUAUUAUUCUGACUAUACAGUAGAAAAAUGAAGGCAGGCAGACCAAUGUGGAUUGUCAGCAAUGUAGGUAUGGAUGAAGUUAGUGAUAGUGGGUGUGGAGAAAGGAGAAAGAUUAAAGAUAUUUUUAAGAAGUAAAAGAGCAGGGCUUGGUGACUAGCUACAUAUGAGCAGUGUAGGAGAGGGUUCUGUCAUUUGCUGAGACUGGAAACACAGGAAGAAGCAAAGGUUUGGGAGAAGGAGGUUGAGUUCCUUUUUUGGAUAUAUUGAAUUUGGCGUAUUAAGGGAUAAGCAAGUACAAAGGUUGGGCAAGCAAUGGAAUGUAUGAAUCUUAUAUUCUGAACAGAACCCUCUAAACUGGAGAUGUAGACUGGAGAGCUGUUAGUAUGAAAUGGUAACUGAAGCUGUGAGAGUGUGAUAUUGCCCAAGGCGAUGUGCAGAAUGAGGAAGGAACCACCUGGAACACCAAAAAUUAAGGUUUGGGCUGAGAAAUAGGACUUAUAAAAUAUCAAGUCCAGCAAUGAUCCUGAAGCCAUAAUUUGUACAUUACUUUAUAUUCUCCCUGGUCAAAUAUAGUACUAGACGUAUUAACAGGUAUGAAAGCGAUUUUUUAAAUUCUUUUUUUUUUUUACCUUGUAAAGCCAUUAACUGGCAAUGAAAACAUUUCAAAAAACUGAAAUCAAUAAACCUUUGUAAAAUAAUUGUUAAAAUAUAAUCUAUAAACCAAACCACCCUUGAUUGCUCAAUACCUAACUUUAUUUGGAGCUUUCUGCUUUACGACAGAACUUUAAUUACGCUGUAACUUGCCCUCCAUCAGUUCUGUGACUGCUUCUUAUUUUCUGAUCAACUGGAUAAUCUUUAAUGGAUGUGCAGCUCAGUAAUAGCUCAGAGCUAUUUCUCUGAUAAAGAAAGAGGUAUACAUUGGGUAGAAGACAACCAUGGUCCCUAAUUCCCACGUGGAAAAACUCAAAUACAGUUUUGGAUGGAGCAAUGGAGAUUUGCCUUAAUAUGCUUCCUUUAUAUUUGUAGGAGUAGAAAUGGAAAUGUGACCUCUGGAGUGGCUAAUCGGGGGUGUGGUCAAGUAUGUUUAACAACUAGCUUGCCAGGAAAAAAGAGCUCUGAUUUGCUGCGUUUGCCAAUGUUUAUAGUGUAAAUACUACCCCCAACUUCAGCUUCAAGCUACCAACUUGAUGUCAUUAAAGGUGGAGUAGGGAUAAAAUGUAUACAUUGGCUCUUGCCAGCCAGUGGGGCUUCAGCACACUACUGGGCCAAGAAUGAGCUAACUGAUGGCCAGGGAUGGAAAACAGAUUUUACACAGACAACUGAAUUCUACAAAACACUGAGUUUUUACUUUAAUGAAAACUGAUUUAUUCAUCUAUUUGUUUAUUUGUAGGUCUUGACCUUUUCCCUUUUGAAUUGAGGGCUGGUGGUAUGAGUGAUAGACACUAAUAAUCUAAUAUAGUAUUUUAACUUUUAUGUCUUUAUUCAUAGCAAUAAUGGUUUCUAAAGUUGGCUUGAAUCUGAGAUUGAAGUGAUUGAGAAUGAUUUUCAAUCGAAUUCCUUAUACCAUGAAC